rnacentral:misc_RNA from 1 species
GAUGAAGAACGUAGCGAAAUGCGAUAAGUAAUGUGAAUUGCAGAAUUCAGUGAAUCAUCGAAUCUUUGAACGCACAUUGCGCCCGCCAGUAUUCUGGCGGGCAUGCCUGUUCGAGCGUCAUUUCAACCAUCAAGCCCCCGGCUUGUGUUGGGGACCUGCGGCUGCCGCAGGCCCUGAAAACCAGUGGCGGGCUCGCUAGUCACUCCGAGCGUAGUAAUACAUCUCGCUCAGGGCGUGCUGCGGGUUCCGGCCGUUAAAAAGCCUUAUUUACCCAAGGUUGACCUCGGGUCAGGUAGGAAGACCCGCUGAACUUAAGCAUAUCAAUAAGCGGAGGA